rnacentral:lncRNA from 7 species
GGCGCUUUAGGAGACAGCGAUGCACGAACCUUGGCUAACACUGAGAAAAACUGCUGUAUGGUGAACCACCCUGCUUCCUAACUGUGCCUCCCAUUCAAUGACAGCUAUGGUUGCACUGAGCACCACAGCACCCUGAAUGCGUGCCUGUGUCUCCAGCAGGCUCAGCACCUUAGCAGUCUCCCCCAUGAGUAGACAGCGGCUGCUUCUUGAGAGUGUUUCACCGAAUGACAAAGCACGGGAUUGCAUAAUAUAUCUUCAGCAUGUCUCUGGGAAGGUCACUGAUAACCUGUGUUUCAGCCCAUUCCUCCUGCUGUUUGGAGUACACGUCUGCUGUGCACGCUGUAAAUGAGGAGCCCACUUUAUGCACGGAGAACAAGGGAUCUGAUGAAUGGCAAAGAGGCAUAAUUUAUAGGGAAGUAACCUGAGAAACAGCACUGAAAUCUUUUCACCCAUAAAUAAUGUGCCUUUUCACGUGAUUUUUGAAGAUCUGAGUCUUGUGGUGAAGCACGCUAUGUUGAAAUUCCUCCCUGUGUUACCUUGGUGGACUUCUCAUGGCAGAGGCAACCCAAGCUUUGCGAUGCCUUUGGAUGGAAAUGCAGAAUUGAAAUACAGAAGAGCAGCCCUUUGUUGAAAAUUGCUGCUCAAAACAGAAGAAAAAAUCCUGGGCUAAAGCAGAGGCCCUGUGGGACUUUCUGCCCUGAGCCUGCUUUGUCAGAGCUGAUGGCAGCAGCCUGGGUGCAUGGAAGGCCCAGAUCUCAUGCCCUCCUUUCUGCAUAAGGCGCCAUGUCAGUACAUCCCCUGUGGCCACAGGGCAUGGGCUGAUCCAGGUGAGAGAACAGCUCCUCAGCCCAGUGUCUGGUGGUGGGGUGAUGCUAAUUUGUUCCCUUUGCUUGAAAUGAACCCUGCACAACUCCGAUGAGGUGGAUGGAGGAGAUCGUGGUUUCAGCCGCCUGUUCAUCUCCCUUGGAAAGUCAAAAGCCAUUUAUCUGGCACACUCAUAUUCAGACCAAAGUCUUACUUCUUAUGCAGCUUAAAUUAAAUUUUAGCUUGGCGUUAC